UGCGUAGGCGGAUUAAUAAGUCAGUGGUGAAAUCUUUCGGCUCAACCGAGAAACUGCCAUUGAUACUGUUAAUCUUGAGUUCGGUUGAGGUAGGCGGAAUGUGUAAUGUAGCGGUGAAAUGCUUAGAUAUUACACAGAACACCAAUUGCGUAGGCAGCUUACUAGACCGACACUGACGCUGAAGCACGAAAGCGUGGGGAGCGAACAGGAUUAGAUACCCUGGUAGUCC
rnacentral:rRNA from 1 species